rnacentral:rRNA from 1 species
AGAGUUUGAUCCUGGCUCAGGAUGAACGCUGGCGGCGUGCCUAAUACAUGCAAGUCGAGCGAACAGACGAGGAGCUUGCUCCUUUGAYGUUAGCGGCGGAUGGGUGAGUAACACGUAGGUAACCUACCUAUAAGACUGGGAUAACUUCGGGAAACCGGAGCUAAUACCGGAUAAUAUUUCGAACCGCAUGGUUCGAUAGURAAAGAUGGCUUUGCUAUCACUUAUAGAUGGACCUGCGCCGUAUUAGCUAGUUGGUAAGGUAACGGCUUACCAAGGCAACGAUACGUAGCCGACCUGAGAGGGUGAUCGGCCACACUGGAACUGAGACACGGUCCAGACUCCUACGGGAGGCAGCAGUAGGGAAUCUUCCGCAAUGGGCGAAAGCCUGACGGAGCAACGCCGCGUGAGUGAUGAAGGUCUUCGGAUCGUAAAA